GAUGAACGCUAGCUACAGGCUUAACACAUGCAAGUCGAGGGGCAGCAUUAGGUAGCAAUACUGAGAUGGCGACCGGCGCACGGGUGCGUAACGCGUAUCCAACCUUCCCGUUACUCAUGGAUAGCCUUCCGAAAGGGAGAUUAAUACAUGAUGGUGUUGAAAUUCCGCAUGUUAUUUCAACUAAAGAUUUAUCGGUAACGGAUGGGGAUGCGUGACAUUAGAUAGAUGGCGGGGUAACGGCCCACCAUGUCCACGAUGUCUAGGGGUUCUGAGAGGAAGGUCCCCCACGCGGGAACUGAGACACGGUCCAGACUCCUACGGGAGGCAGCAGUGAGGAAUAUUGGUCAAUGGCCGGAAGGCUGAACCAGCCAAGUAGCGUGAAGGAUGAAGGUUCUAUGGAUUGUAAACUUCUUUUAUACGGGAAUAAAACCUCCCACGUGUGGGAGCUUGUAUGUACCGUAUGAAUAAGCAUCGGCUAACUCCGUGCCAGCCGCCGCCGUAAUAC
rnacentral:rRNA from 1 species